GAUGAACGCUGGCGGCGUGCCUAAUACAUGCAAGUCGAGCGAACGGACGAGAAGCUUGCUUCUCUGAUGUUAGCGGCGGACGGGUGAGUAACACGUGGAUAACCUACCUAUAAGACUGGGAUAACUUCGGGAAACCGGAGCUAAUACCGGAUAAUAUUUUGAACCGCAUGGUUCAAAAGUGAAAGACGGUCUUGCUGUCACUUAUAGAUGGAUCCGCGCUGCAUUAGCUAGUUGGUAAGGUAACGGCUUACCAAGGCAACGAUGCAUAGCCGACCUGAGAGGGUGAUCGGCCACACUGGAACUGAGACACGGUCCAGACUCCUACGGGAGGCAGCAGUAGGGAAUCUUCCGCAAUGGGCGAAAGCCUGACGGAGCAACGCCGCGUGAGUGAUGAAGGUCUUCGGAUCGUAAAACUCUGUUAUUAGGGAAGAACAUAUGUGUAAGUAACUGUGCACAUCUUGACGGUACCUAAUCAGAAACCACGGCUAACUACGUG
rnacentral:rRNA from 1 species